rnacentral:lncRNA from 1 species
CAAUACUCAUGAUACUCUACGAGUUAUGUUUCUGUUUGAUGUAUACUAAAGUGGCUCGUGACUUUCUCCUUAAAUAAUAUGGUCAAAGUUAUUUGAAGUCACGGUACCACAUCUACACUCUGUCGUCAAGUGCAAGUGCCGCGAUAGAUGCUCGAAUAAUGUGAAUUUAAUUGAGAUAUGUAUUUUAUUUUUAUUUUUUAGAUACAUAUCAAUUGCUAGCAUGUUGCCCGUAACGCC